GACCCCUGUGGGGCAGGUUCCUUGGAAGCCUGCGGUUUUGACUUGAGCACCUGGAAUCUCUUAAGUUUUUAACUUUGCAGUUUUAUUUUCCAAAGGCUUUCUCUUGUUCUCUAAUUGUUCCCUUUCUAGCACCCAGUUCUCACUUUAUAAACCCACUGUCUUCCUUAAAAUUCUGAAAACAUGAAUUUGGAUUUUUUUGGUGAAGCUCUCCCUUGUGUCCUGUAUUAUAUUGGUUUUUUUUCUCCAAAAAUAGUUCGGUUUGUUCAUCAUGAUCUUCUCUUUCAUUUUCUUCAAAUAUCUGGCGGAUGUUUGUUCGUUCAUAUUUUGGAGUAAAGGACUCAUUUGGUUGGCCUAGGUGACUAGCAUGGCUGUGAGCUACAGCUUGAAGUCCAUGUCAUUAAGUCUUCUCCGAAUGGAAGCGUGGAGUGUGUCCGUUGGGAGUGGUCUCUCUCUGGGAUACAUGGGUUGGAGCUUGCAGGUAAGAUAGGGAGCAUCUCCAAGGCCAAAAUCUUGUCAUUUUCUGACACUGGAAGACUUCUGUGUAUCUCUUCUAGGUAGAUGUGUCCUUCCAUUUUGUUUCUCUUCUGCUGCACACUCUUCCACACUUAUCUCACACCUGCUCCUGAGCCAUUGAAUGAUGUAAGGAGACUAUCGUCCCAUCACUUGCACCAUCAGUGUGCACUGGAUCUUGCACGCCGGGCGCUGAGCACGUGGUUCCCGGAGCCCUCUUCCUUCCUUGGCAAAGAGUACAGAGAGAAAGGAGCCGCAAAAGCGGCUCCGGAAGGCCUGGAACAGCCGGUUGGAGACAUCUGCUGGGGUGGAAGAUGGCUUCGACUCCCACGUACAGCCGGGGGAUGCUUCCGGGAAGGACCGGGUUGGGGAGCCUGGCCCCCGGGAGCCCCCGUUAAUAAAGGUGACCUGGGAGCCCGUCCCCGUCCUGUCAGCGGCCAACAGGACUUGAGGAGCCCCUGCCAGACCCGCUGAUUUCCUGCCCUCUGGCCCAUCCUGGCAACCCCUUGGGAUAGGUUUGGUUUGAGCAUCUCCCACGCGAGGAAACCGAGUCCGGAAUAUAAACGACUCACCCACGAUGAUGUGGACACUGGAUUAAAGUCCGCGCCUCCUCCUCAGUCACCUGUUCAGGAAAACGGGGUGUCAAGAGGCCAGUGGGUCAUGUGCUUUCUUGAGGCCUGUCCCAGCUUUAUAUAAGGUGCCAGCAAAGAGGUGCAGAUAGCUGUUGUGAUGCUCUAGCAGCUCAGGAAGGCGGCCCCUGCCCUUCUUGGCAGAGUCCUGACCUUCAGCAAGGCCAGUUUCUCCUCCCCCCCCCCCCGCCCCCGCGCACGCAGAACAGUCCCUUUUUGGCUCUGUUUCUACUAGAAAAUGUGUUUAGCGAUUUUUUAAAAAAUCUUGAAGGGUCGUAGUUUGAGACUGAACACACCGUUUUCCCCAGCGGGCUGCCAAGCCCCCAACCAGGGCCGGGAUGGGGCUGAAGAGGAAAGAAGGUGUCUCAUUCCUCUCCUGAGCUGGCCAGACCCCCAGCUGGGUUCUUGCUUUACAUUCUUCUGUUCUAAUGUAUAGGUGCUGCUUCCUCAGAAGUAUGUGAUCUCUCCACCUCUUUCAAUGGAGACAAUCAAUAUUUCAUCCUAGGGCUAGAACAGAGGCUUGGGCUGCUUUUCCACAUAGGACUAAAAUAAUUUUUCUCGAACAUUAUUUCGUACCUUGCUCCCAAACUACUGCCCCUUGGUUGAUUCUCCAAAUAACUUUUGAUAGUUGUAUAUGCGUAUUUCCAGCUAUACUUUGUGAAAUGUUAUGAAGGUCAUCUCCCCUCUCCAUCUCUCAGCACUUCGAUGCACAUAAAUCGCAAAUAAUUGCUACA